rnacentral:misc_RNA from 1 species
UAGGGGGAUCAGAGAAGGCUCCUGUAGAAAUCUGGUCGAAAAUAAAUUUAUUGGCAGCUUCAGUGUAGUGACCUCCAUCCCAAUUUACUCGAACUGAAGGGCGAUCACAAGAGCCCACAACUAUUUGGGUACCAUUUGCUGUAACUGUAUCUCCACAUCGAACAUUACUACUAAAAUUGUACUUUCCUCCGUAGCCACAACAUACUAUAAGUGGAAGCUCGAAACCAUGUUUUUCUGGUUCACUGAAUAAAGAAUACUUGACAGAAUAGAUGUCAACAUAGGUGAAAACCGCUAAUGGCAAAUCCUUCCUGAGCUGAGCUACGCUCUCCUUCAAGUUGAGAUUAAAAUGCUGAGCAACUUCAUUAUAAGCUUUUGCACAGCCUGCACUAUCUUUUUCAGCCAAGGGAAAACUCUCAAAAAUAUAUGCAAGACAACCAAGUGGUCCUGUGUUGUGAAUCCAAAAUGAUCUAGCUCCCAAAUUGUAUAUUUUCUUAACGUUUGCUGAGAAGCUAUUGACAAUACCAGGGACAGUUGCAUUCACUUCUUCCACAGACAAGUUACCAGAAGAUCCAGCUCCAAUAUCAUUUUGACCGAUAUCGAAUGUGUAUAAAGCCUUCUCAAAAUAAUCUCUCUCAGGCACCGAUUCAGCAAACAUAGCUCCUUUUUCCCUGAUAAUCUGUGAUCUGGAUAUGAAUUGCAGGAAUUGCUCAUAUUGCACAUCAAGGUAGAAUGGACUAUAUCCACCAUUAGGUACAAUACUAGUUGGUAUUUGAAUGGUGGAUGCUGCUGUGGCAAAAUUUGCACCAUGUUUGAAGUUGGCUCCCAGAGAAUUAAGAUAUGCACUCAGAUAAGGGAGAUUGAAACUCUUGGCUAUAAAAUCUAUUAUGAGCCUUCCAUCAGAGUACCUCCCUGCUGGCAUAUGAAAGAAAGUCUCUCCAUAAGGAGAGUUAGGAGGAGAAAAAGCAGCUGCCAAGCCACCGGUAUCGGAAUUGGAGUCACCGAAGUUAAAGAUUGCCGGAAAAUCACAGUUUUUGGAAGCAUAAGUGAGGGAAAGCAUGCAUAAUAAGAAAGAGAGAGUGGUGAUAAGCUUGUUAUUAGUUUCAGGAAACUCCAUGGAUUGGAAGCAAAAACUAGGAGCUAAGUGCAGCAGUGGAAAGUAUCUUUGUAUGUAUAAUAGUGAAAGAGAGACAUUU